rnacentral:rRNA from 1 species
AACGAACGCUGGCGGCAUGCCUAACACAUGCAAGUCGAACGAGACCUUCGGGUCUAGUGGCGCACGGGUGCGUAACGCGUGGGAACCUGCCCUUAGGUUCGGAAUAACUCCCCGAAAGGGGUGCUAAUACCGGAUAAUGUCUUCGGACCAAAGAUUUAUCGCCUUUGGAUGGGCCCGCGUUGGAUUAGCUAGUUGGUAGGGUAAAAGCCUACCAAGGCGACGAUCCAUAGCUGGUCUGAGAGGAUGGGCAGCCACACUGGGGCUGAGACACGGCCCAGACUCCUACGGGAGGCAGCAGUGGGGAAUAUUGGACAAUGGGGGAAAGGCUGAUCCAGCAAUGCCGGGUGAGUGAUGAAGGCCGUAGGGUAGUAAAGCUCUUUUACCCGGGAUGAUAAUGACAGUACCGGGAGAAUAAGCUCCGGCUAACUCCGUG